rnacentral:misc_RNA from 1 species
UGCCCCACCCGCUCCUCA